AUACGGAAGGUCCGGGCGUUAUCCGGAUUUAUUGGGUUUAAAGGGAGCGCAGGCGGAGAUGCAAGCGUGACGUCAAAUUUCGGGGCUCAACCCCGUCUCGCGUCGCGAACUGCGUCCCUUGGUUGCGGGAAGGGGAGGCGGAACUCGUGGUGUAGCGGUGAAAUGCAUAGAUAUCACGAAGAACUCCGAUCGCGAAGGCUGGCAUCCGGCCCGUCAACGACGCGCAUGCUCGAAGGUGCGGGUAUCAAACAGGAUUAGAUACCCUGGUAGUCCGCACAGUAAACGAUGGACACCCGCGGUUUGGCCUGUAUGGCUGAGCCGCCAAGCGAAAGCGUUAAGGGUCCCACCUGGGUAGUACGCCGGCAACGGUGAAACUCAAAUGAAUUGGCGGGG
rnacentral:rRNA from 1 species